CUUUCAGGUCUUAAAAUUCUUUUCUUGUUCUGUUCUUAUUUAUUUUAUUUUAUUUCUUUGCAGGAACUGGAUGAGUGUUUGCACAGAGGCUAAGAUGGAAGAAAAAAAACCUUAAUUUUCUCAGAGAAUGCAAAUGCUCCAGAGACACUCAUCAGUUCAGCAUGAGGUUGGAGACAGGAGCAGCAUCAAUCCCCAUAGUAUUGGACAGAUGCAAUGUAUCUGUGUUGUCUGUCCAUCUGUAAAGCAACUGUUCCAGUGAUGAGAGUUUUCAUACCAGCUUUCUAUGGUGUAUAGUGUACCAUAAACACUAUCACAGAGAAGUUCAUUUCACUUCACUGAAGGGAUAACUGAUUCUGCAUCAAAUCACGCUGUCUGAACUCAGGGAAAUUUAAAGCAAAAGCAGAAACCAAACCUUUACAACUCAAAUACAACUAAUUAUGAGACUGACCGCAUUACUUAAGUUGAAUAAACUUGUUUUUAUGUAGAGUUUCA
rnacentral:lncRNA from 1 species